GAUGAACGCUGGCGACGUGCUUAACACAUGCAAGUCGAGCGGAGUUAGAGGAGCUUGCUUCUUUGACUUGGCGGCGGACGGGUGAGUAACGCGUGGGCAACCUGCCUCAAAGAGGGGGAUAACACUCCGAAAGGAGUACUAAUACCGCAUAGAUCUGAUUACCGCAUGGUAGUGAGAUUAAAGAUUUAUCGCUUUGAGAUGGGCCCGCGACGCAUUAGCUAGUUGGUGAGGUAGAAGCUCACCAAGGCGACGAUGCGUAGCCGGACUGAGAGGUCGAACGGCCACAAUGGAACUGAGACACGGUCCAUACUCCUACGGGAGGCAGCAGUGGGGAAUAUUGCACAAUGGGCGAAAGCCUGAUGCAGCGACGUCGCGUGAGGGAAGAAGUAUUUCGGUAUGUAAACCUCUGUCCUAUGUGACGAAAAGGACGGUAGCAUAGGAGGAAGCCAUGGCUAACUACGUGCCAGCCGCCGCAGUAAAAC
rnacentral:rRNA from 1 species